UGCAACCUGAGCUCAGUCGUGAUUACCCGCUGAACUUAAGCAUAUCACUUAGCGGAGGAAAAGAA
rnacentral:rRNA from 1 species